rnacentral:rRNA from 1 species
GUGCCAGACUCCUACGGGAGGCAGCAGUGGGGAAUAUUGCACAAUGGGGGGAACCCUGAUGCAGCGACGCCGCGUGGGUGAAGGAGCGUUUCGGCGCGUAAAGCCCUAUCGGCAGGGAAGAAGAUGACGGUACCUGACCAAGAAGCCCCGGCUAACUACGUGCCAGCAGCCGCGGUAAUACGUAGGGGGCAAGCGUUAUCCGGAUUUACUGGGUGUAAAGGGAGCGUAGACGGCGAUGCAAGCCAGAUGUGAAAGCCCGGGGCUCAACCCCGGGACUGCAUUUGGAACUGUGUGGCUGGAGUGUCGGAGAGGCAGGCGGAAUUCCUAGUGUAGCGGUGAAAUGCGUAGAUAUUAGGAAGAACACCAGUGGCGAAGGCGGAUGACUGGACGACAACUGACGGUGAGGCGCGAAAGCGUGGGGAGCAAACAGGAUUAGAUACCCCCGUA